UGCUAUUUUGAAAGCUGGGGACACUCAGAAGGGAAAGAGAUCAAGGCGACACCGCCCAAAUAUAUCAGUGAAAAAGGGUUUCUUGCGCAGUGCACCCAUUCACGCACAAGCACGCACGUGUGUGUAUGCUGCCCUUUGCUAGAACCAUUUUUUUCCGCAUACAGUGAGACCUGUAUUAAGUACAUUAAUCGCAAUCACCAACGUAUUGCAUAUAGCAGCCACCGCAGUCGUCCACUCGUGCCCUUUGCCAGCAGCAUUGCCUUUUCACGCACCCCCGAUUUUCCGGCAGCAAGAUGGCGGCGACGAUUGCACGCAGGGUCCGCAUACGGCAAGACCUGCAUAACACGCCGGCGUUUGAGCGAGACAUGAAUGACAUGGCGGCACAGGACUUAUACGAGCAAAUUCUCCUCAGUAGCAUCCGCAGCGGCAGCGACCCGAAUGCGAAGGCAGUGGCCGAGGUGUACGAGGGCUACGUGGAGCCGAGCUACGACCCGGUGAAGGGCGCGAGCGUGGCUGCUAGCCAUCGACAGGUCAUUCAGGAGAUCUACAGGGAGCGCGAAGUUAUCAUCCGCACCCUGCGCUCCUCAGAGGAGCACCGCGAGCUUUCCGCCUUCGACCGGCUUCUGCGAGAGACCGAAUUCUACACUGGCGUUCGGGAGUGGAAGGGGGCAUCGGCGCGCGGCCCGCGCAGCCGACUGUACCGUCACGCCAGCCGCGACAACGAGGAGGAUUCGACCGGGUUCGACAUGAUGCACCUGACGGAGACGCCCUCUUACAUCCGCGGAAAGCUGCGCCCGUAUCAGAUCGAGGGCGUGAACUGGUUGCUCGGCCUCUUCUCGCGCGGUGUGAAUGGGAUUUUGGCAGAUGAGAUGGGGCUGGGCAAAACCUUCCAGACCAUCGCCACUAUCGCGUACCUCAAGUUCACUGUAGGGAUGCCGGGCCCGCACCUGGUCGUAUGCCCGAAGUCUGUGAUGGGGAACUGGUACCGCGAGUUCAAGCACUGGUGCCCCGGGCUUUUGGUGUACAAGUUCCACGCCUCUAGCGAUAUUCGGCCAAGCAUCGUCAAGGCUCACUUGCACCCUACCGAUCGCAUCAAGUACGACGUUAUUGUGACGACCUUCGAGAUGGUUCUGGAUGAGCUCAACUUGUUUAAGCGCAUUGCGUGGCAGUACUUGAUCGUCGAUGAGGCCCACAAGCUGAAGAACGAGGAGGGGCGUGCACACACGGCGCUCGACUCCCUGCAGACGUCGCACCGACUCAUUAUCACCGGCACUCCUCUGCAAAACAACCUCAGGGAGCUAUGGGCGCUGCUGCACUUCUUGGCACCACGCUUGUUCAACGACUCUGAAUCCUUCGACACGUGGUUCGACACCACGUCGGGCCAGCAGGACGCCAACGUCAUGUCAAACCUGCAUAAGAUCCUCGCUCCCCUCAUGAUCCGUCGUCUCAAGGCUGAUGUGAGCACUGGCAUUCCGCCAAAGAAGGAGAUUUACGUUUCGUGCCAGCUCUCCAAGAAACAGAGGGAGUGGUACAUGAACGUCCUUGCGAAGGACGCCGAGGUGCUGAACAAGGCCGGCGGCAGCGUUGCCUCUCUGACGAAUGUUAUGAUGAGCCUUCGAAAAGUGAUCAAUCAUCCUUACCUCAUGGACGGCGGCGAGGAGGGGCCUCCGUUCGUCACAGAUGAAAAGUUGGUUCGAACAAGUGGCAAGAUGAUCAUACUGGACAAGCUGCUGCACCGAUUGAGGGCUGAUGUGCAGGGCAAGCACAAGGUGCUCAUCUUUUCCCAGUUCACCUCGAUGCUUAACAUUUUGGAGGACUACUGCAACAUGCGCGGCUUCAUGUACUGUCGCAUCGAUGGCAACACCAGCGGCUACGACAGAGAUUCUCAGAUGGCAUCUUUCAACUCCCCAUCGAGCGACUACUUCAUUUUUCUGCUAUCUACCCGCGCUGGCGGUCUCGGCAUCAACCUUCAGGCUGCGAAUCACGUCAUUCUGUACGACUCCGACUGGAACCCGCAGAUGGAUUUGCAGGCGCAAGAUCGAGCGCAUCGUAUCGGCCAGAAACGCAGCGUCCGCGUCUACCGCUUCGUCACGGACGGUACGCUGGAAGAGAAGAUGUACCGCCGUGCCCUAAAGAAGCUCUACCUAGAUGCGGUGGUGGUGCAGCAGGGCCGACUGCAGUCAAAGGCGACGAAUCAGGCCUCCAAGGAGGAGCUGCUGUCCAUGAUCAAGUUUGGAGCCGAGGAGAUUUUUAAAACACGUCAUGAGGACGUUACGGAGGCCGAUAUCGAUCGUCUACUCGAUGAGGGUGAGACGAUCUCGAACCAGCUGACGAACGAAGCCAAGCAGCAGGUACAAAUGUCCCUCGCCAGCUUUCAGCUUGGUGCGGAGGAGGCGAACAUUUACGAUUUUGAGGGCGUAAGCUACAAGACUGGCGCAGAGUCGCGCAUUUUGCACCUCAGGCUGAGCUCGCCGGUGAGCCAAGCAGAGUUGCAGGCACAGUGCUCGCAGCAUGGAGAGGUGAUCAAGGCCGUUCUGCACCCCAACCUGAAGGAGGCGCUGGUUUACUUCCGCUCAACCAGUGGUGCCAUGGAGGCCAAGGCGAAGCUGCCCUACGAAUCGGCCUUCGCUAGCCGAGACUCGCAGACAGUGGUGUCAAGUGACAUGAUUGCGGAGUGCAUCGGCGUGGGCGAGAAACUGGGCCGCGGUCAUCGCAUGCGUGAGCCGGUGCAGUUCUUCACCGAGGCGGAUGUGGAGUCUAUGCAGAAGAGGGCGACCAAGGCACCGCCGCUGAAGCUGCCCAAGCUCCCCAAGUUUCACCCGUACCAGCUGUACAACGCAAAGCGGCUGACGGAGCUGCAUAACACGGAGGUGGCGCUGAUGGUGCGCAACUGGAAGCGCAAGUACGAGGAGAAGAGCGACGCACAGAAGAGCAAGGAGAGCAACGAGGAGGAGGCUGGCGACGAGGCAGACGACAAGGCCGAGGACGAAGACGAGCUCCUGACCGAGGUGGAGCAAGAGGAGCGAGAGCGGCUGCUGAGUGAGGGCUUCCCGACCUGGACCUUCUACGAGUACCGCUCGGUAGUGUCAGCCCUUACCAGCGGAAAGAUGGAUCUCACCGACUACGCUGCCAUCGCUGCUGCAGUGGGUGGAACAAAGACGGUGGGCGAGGUGCGUGACUACGUGGUUGCCCUGCUGGAGCGUGGUGAGCAGUGCAUCAAGAAAUUCGCCCUCGUGGAGGAGCGCAUCAAGAAGGCGAAGCUGAGGCGCGAAGCGAAAGAGAACGUCUUCAAAGCCGCCAAGUGGAAGGUGGAGACUUGCGAGCACCCAGAGAAGGAGCUCACCUUUAAGGCACGCGGCAACGUAGCCCUUGAUCGGGAGAUCUUUCUCAUGGCCUACGAGACUGG
rnacentral:misc_RNA from 1 species